CCGGUUCCGGUACGAUCACCGAAGCUAAGCAACAUUGAGCCUGGACAGUAUCUAGAUGGGUAACCGCUUGGGAAUACCAGGUGCUGUAAG